AUUGAACGCUGGCGGAAUGCUUUACACAUGCAAGUCGAGCGGCAGCGCGGGGCAACCUGGCGGCGAGCGGCGAACGGGUGAGUAAUACAUCGGAACGUGCCCAGACGUGGGGGAUAACACAUCGAAAGAUGUGCUAAUACCGCAUACGACCUGAGGGUGAAAGGGGGGGAUCGCAAGACCUCUCGCGUUUGGAGUGGCCGAUGUCGGAUUAGCUAGUUGGUGAGGUAAAGGCUCACCAAGGCGACGAUCCGUAGCUGGUCUGAGAGGAUGAUCAGCCACACUGGGACUGAGACACGGCCCAGACUCCUACGGGAGGCAGCAGUGGGGAAUUUUGGACAAUGGGGGCAACCCUGAUCCAGCCAUUCCGCGUGAGUGAAGAAGGCCUUCGGGUUGUAAAGCUCUUUCGGCAGGAACGAAACGGUGGGGGAUAAUACCUCUCAUCAAUGACGGUACCUGAAGAAGAAGCACCGGCUAACUACGUGCCAGCAGCCGCCGUAAGAC
rnacentral:rRNA from 1 species